UACGUAGGGGGCCAGCGUUGUCCGGAAUCAUUGGGCGUAAAGCGCGCGUAGGCGGUCAGGUAAGUCUGGUGUGAAAGUCAAAGGCUCAACCUUUGAAUGCCGCUGGAUACUGCUUGACUUGAGUCCGGAAGGGGCGAGUGGAAUUCCUGGUGUAGCGGUGAAAUGCGCAGAUAUCAGGAGGAACACCAAUGGCGAAGGCAGCUCGCUGGAACGGUACUGACGCUGAGGCGCGAAAGCGUGGGGAGCAAACAGG
rnacentral:rRNA from 1 species